UUUAGAUCUAACGGUGAUGUGGUGCUUGGCUGCUUGCAUAGAUAAGCGGCCAAUAAUUUCUCAGGGAAAACCUAUUUUGAUUCAAGUUCAACUGUGGUGUUGAUCUGAGUUUCAGUAAUGAUUUGAGAAAUUAAGAGAGAAAAAGAGAGAAAGAGAGCCAGAGAGAAGAACAAGUAUAAACCAGAGAGAUUGAGAGUAGUUUGACUGUAAUGGCAUCAUCUUCUCCUUCUCUGCUUAGGGAUUUAGUAGAAAUGAAAUGAAAUCAGUUUAAGAAAAACUAGUUAUUGUGGGAGCAAAUCAUGAAAUUGAUCCUUGUACUCCCUCCAUCAUCAUCUUAUACUCCUACUUCUUAAGAGGAGGAUGCAUGUUUAUUCGAAUACUUGAAAGAGUUGUUCAUAAAUCUCAAUCCAUCAUCAUCACCAGAUUCACCACCAUUGCUUAUUGCUACUCCUCAAGAUGCGAUAGAGGAUCAAAAGGCUGCAUGAGAACCUAGUGAAAACCACUGGUGAUGGUCAGAAGCAGCAACAACUCCUGCAAAAAGAAGAGGGAAAGAGGAGGCAUGCAAGUACUACUUAUGUGUUGGGGGAAGGAGGAGCAGAGCCAACAGAGAAAAGGAAGAUGUUGGUAAUCCCAACAGACUAACUCUGAUUUUGGUGUCUCGUUCAAUAAAAUUGAGCCUGGUAGCGUAUCAACUGUGCGUCCGCUGAUUGUGCAUUGAAUAUAAGUCGUCGUACUGAAGACCUUGUAUCUUUUGCUUUUCAUGGAUAUCAUGAGGCCAACAAAGAAAAAGGCAUGAGACCUCCAAUUAUCGAUUAUGCCGCAUGAGCAGGAUUGUGCUGAUGUCUAUUUUUUUUUGAAGCAGCGGAUUUGUUGAAAUGUAUUACCAGCGUUCAUUCAGUGGAUCAAAGGCCUAAACUAGAAAUGGAAAUAUGCAUGUUUUGUAGGAACUAGUUGACACACCGCCGAGAUCCACCUAUUCUGUAUCUGGAUACUAGUUGUGACAGAGAUAUGGAGAACAUUUACGAUUCGGAAGUUUAUAUAUAAGUUCAGAAUCUGGUUAAGACAUUCGAUAAGAACAAUGGCGUAGGACUCAAAAACCCCCCAUGGACAUGAAUCCGAUGGAGGUGUUUACCUAUGAGAUAACCUGGAUGGUGGUUGCCAAGCAUGUGCUGCAUAAGAAAAUGAGGCCAUGGAUUUCAAAUUUGCAAGAAACUCAACAGAUGAAGAGCCAGAUGACCUUGUUUCUCAAAUUCUUGGUCUAUGAAAAACCAUGGUUCUGAAUUAUCAAUUAAUAAAAAGAUUAUGUCCUUCCAAUUGGUCAGCGAGGUUGAAUCUGAAAGAUUAUUCGAGAACAUAUGGGCUAUGCUUGUCUAUGAGAUCAAGAAGCUCGAGGAAGUCGAUGGGGAAAAGCCUUUGGGGGUUGAGAUUUUUAAUGACACACCUAAAACCAAAAAGGAGGUGCUCUCGCUUGACAUAAACUGGGCUGUGUUCGACCAGGUGAGACGCAUUCCUUUACUUGUUUUCAGUAAAUUUUGUUUCACUAGCUCUUUGCAUGGAUCCUGUUAGUGUCUAUUAGUCGUGGAGGACGCUAUGGAGGACGCUCUCAAACUUGUAAAAAUAUUUGGGACAGCAUUUCCUAUAUCCAUAUCUGGUGCUAAUCCAAACACUGAGUUGUUGAGCAUGGAAGGCAUGCCCACAGACAACAACUUGCAUCAGGCAGAUUCAGUCUGGAACGGAGAGGAGAGCAGCAAUCGUGUUGGAGGUGUGAUUAAAAGGAAUAGGUACUAUAGUUAUCCAGUGGUUGACUUUGAGACGCUUCGUGAAACAAACUGGUUAGGAAGUGUGAUUCCGUGGAAUAUAGAGAAGUUGCCUUCUUAAGAGGUUGAUUGGGCUGUGUCCGACAAGGAGCCAAUCACCUUGAAGAAGCUUUCUUAAGUCGAUGCUAUCAUGGAUUGUGUGCUUGUACUUUGUUGUGAAAAUCUGAAAUGGAGUAUAAAAUAUCAAGCUGGUGAUUUUGAAAGGAAGUGGCACAGCAUUUUCUAUUGGCGGUGGUUUUGCGCUUUUGGCUGAUGUCUAUCAUCUAAUUUUACGCCUUCAGUUUAUGCCUCCGGAAAAGCCAGAUUGACAGACUGUGCUUGACACCAAGAACUGGUAGAGGUAGUUAAAUAGUGAAGUUGUUACAGUCUGUGCUUGACACCAAGAAAGCUGGGAUAGCAUCUGGUAGUAUAGUACAGAAGCUACAAUCGGUUUUUUGUCUACACUCACUGCAUUUUUUAUCAAAGAUUCAUCAUCAUCCUAUUCUUUUGCUCCGUAGCUUUUUUCCUCAAAUUUUUGCUGUAAUCUAACUGUAUGCUCUGUAGCCUUGCGAACUA